rnacentral:rRNA from 1 species
AGAUACCUACGGGACGCAGCAGUGAGGAAUAUUGGUCAAUGGGCUAAGGCCUGAACCAGCCAAGUCGCGUGAGGGAAGACGGUCCUAUGGAUUGUAAACCUCUUUUGUAUGGGGGGAAUAAGCUUUACGAGUAGAGUGAUGACAGUACCAUACGAAUAAGCAUCGGCUAACUCCGUGCCAGCAGCCGCGGUAAUACGGAGGAUGCGAGCGUUAUCCGGAUUUAUUGGGUUUAAAGGGUGCGUAGGCGGCAUUAUAAGUUAGUGGUAAAAUAUUGGGGCUUCACCUCACUACGCCAUUAA